AUUGAACGCUGGCGGCAGGCCUAACACAUGCAAGUCGAACGAGUGGCGGACGGGUGAGUAAUGUCUGGGCAUCUGCCUGAUGGAGGGGGAUAACUACUGGAAACGGUAGCCAAUACCGCAUACCAUCAGAUGUUCCCAGAUGGGAUUAGCUUGUUGGUGGGGUAACGGCUCACAACGGCGACGAUCCCUAGCUGGUCUGAGAGGAUGACCGGCAACACGGGAACUGAGACACGGUCCAGACUCCGACGGGAGGAAGCAGAGGGGAAUAUUGCAAAAUGGGCGCAAGCCUGAUGCAGCCAUGCCGCGUGUAGGAAGAAGGCCUUCGGGUUGUAAAGUACUUUCAGCGGGGAGGCGUUACCCGCAGAAGAAGCACCGGCUAACUCCGUGCCAGCAGCCGCGGUAAUUC
rnacentral:rRNA from 1 species